GACGAACCGUACGAACGUUAUUCGGAAUCACUGGGCUUAAAGGGUGCGUAGGCGGCGCAGUAAGUUGGGUGUGAAAUCCCUCGGCUUAACCGAGGAAUUGCGCCCAAAACUACUGUGCUCGAGGGAGGUAGAGGUGAGCGGAACUUAGGGUGGAGCGGUGAAAUGCGUUGAUAUCCUAAGGAACACCGAUGGCGAAGGCAAUCCCCUGGGCCUGCACUGACGCUCAUGCACGAAAGCGUGGGGAGCAAACAGG
rnacentral:rRNA from 1 species